rnacentral:lncRNA from 1 species
AGGUUGACAGAAGUGGUGCCUAUGUUGUAAGGCAGGCAGCCAAGAGUAUAGUGGCCAACGGUCUUGCUCGCAGAUGCAUUGUUCAAGUUUCAUAUGCCAUUGGUGUGCCUGAACCUUUGUCGGUCUUUGUUGACAGUUAUGGAACUGGAAAGAUUCCUGACAGGGAGAUUCUUCAAAUUGUGAAGGAGAAUUUCGACUUCAGACCUGGAAUGAUCACCAUAAACUUGGACCUUAAGAGGGGUGGCAACAGCAGGUUUCUUAAGACAGCUGCUUAUGGACAC